CAUUUCUCCUUAGUUUAAGUACGUACAUCGUAUUGGCUCAGUGGGUCUUACCGUGCGGUCGUCAACAGUACGAGGCCUUACCUGCAAAUCCGUGCAUUUUACUGCGAGAUUAUCGGAUAAAAAUAAUUUCUGUGAUUGAAAGACAUCCAAAACGUCGCGCAGAAACAACCGCAUUGUUUACCAACGGCUUGGCCGCCGAUCACGGGCGCCGAGUGUGACGUGCUACCAGGACCUGUCGGAUGCAUUGCGUUCGCCCAGCUACACCGUGGUCACCGGCCGCCAUAUUGGUGGGCCCAACGCAUUCUGUCGUCUGCAUUUACUUCAAGCGGGCUGCCCGUAUUUUUUAAAAUUUACUUUAAACUAAAGGGCAUGUCAUGCCAGUUUGUUGCAGCUUUGAGUACAUUUCACACGGACAGAGUAAGAGGGAUAAUUUUUCGCAGGUUCCCCUCACAGUCGCUCAGCUGUGCCGAAGAAUCGGAUGCAGAACCUAGCCAAUUUGUUCCACUGUUCUUUUAAUCUGUGAGGUACGGUGGAAGUAAAUAAACUGCUGUGUUAACCUCGUA